rnacentral:rRNA from 1 species
GACGAACGCUGGCGGCGUGCUUAACACAUGCAAGUCGAACGGAAAGGCCCUGCUUGCAGGGUACUCGAGUGGCGAACGGGUGAGUAACACGUGGGUGAUCUGCCCUGCACUUCGGGAUAAGCUUGGGAAACUGGGUCUAAUACCGGAUAGGACCGCACUUUAGUGUGUGUGGUGGAAAGUUUUUUCGGUGUAGGAUGAGCUCGCGGCCUAUCAGCUUGUUGGUGGGGUAAUGGCCUACCAAGGCGGCGACGGGUAGCCGGCCUGAGAGGGUGUACGGCCACAUUGGGACUGAGAUACGGCCCAGACUCCUACGGGAGGCAGCAGUGGGGAAUAUUGCACAAUGGGCGCAAGCCUGAUGCAGCGACGCCGCGUGGGGGAUGAAGGCCUUCGGGUUGCAAACUCCUUUCGCUAGGGACGAAGCUUUUUGUGACGGUACCUAGAUAAGAAGCACCGGCUAACUACGUG